AAUGUAUAAGAUCGGCCGAAGAAAAUUAUCUUGGCAGUCAACGGCGACCGACGUCCGAGCGCCGUUUUAUGUGCAUUAGCAUAGGAGGUCCCGGGGCACCAU